UUCUAAAAACAUUCCCCUAUCUUUCCACAAAAUCUAACAUUCUCAUAUACAGAGUAUCUAAGAACUGAUAGCACAAUCGAGGAACGGAGGAAUCUACAUGAAAAAAUAUAUCUAAAAUAUUCAAUACAGUUUUUACAUUUGAAUUCGUUGUUGAAGAAACCGACUUCAAAAACCUUAUUGUUACUCGAUCUUCUCGAAAAUGAGGCGUCAUAUGUAAUAAAACAAUUUUAUUCU
rnacentral:misc_RNA from 1 species